UACGUAGGGGGCAAGCGUUGUCCGGAAUCAUUGGGCGUAAAGCGCGUGUAGGCGGUCCGGUAAGUCGGCUGUGAAAGUCCAGGGCUCAACCCUGGGAUGCCGGUCGAUACUGCCGGACUAGAGUUCGGAAGAGGCGAGUGGAAUUCCAGGUGUAGCGGUGAAAUGCGUAGAUAUCUGGAGGAACACCGGUGGCGAAGGCGGCAUUCUGGACCGACAUUGACGCUGAGGAGCGAAAGCCAGGGAGCAAACGGG
rnacentral:rRNA from 1 species